UAAUAUUGCCAUUGUUGAUUUCUCAAUGCAACUCAAGUAUCCACAGUGGGUAGGCACUUGGGCUGAUGAACAGUAUUGCUACACUGCUUUGAAUUACCAAGAAGGAUAUGGAACUUUACCAAUUUUUUACUUUGGAGGACCUGGUCAGAAUUAUAAUUGUCCUUAGAGUCCUCUAAAUAUUUUUUUUAUCGUUUAUAUUAGAAUAAAAUCCAAUGUGGUGGAAAGGUUUCCUUGGCAUCGUUGUUCGAUAGAAUAAAAGUGUUUGUUUUUACAUUAAAAAAAGGUCAAAUUCUAUUUAAAGUCCUUGUAUAAUACAUUUUCAACAUAUUUUUUUAAAAAUUAAGUCACACCAAAUAAAUUGAUAGAAUUCAAGGAAAAAAUUGGCCUUUGUCUCGUUGCUCAUUGCUCUCCCCAUAUAAAAUGAAGUUGGAGGUACUUUACGUUGUACUCCUAGUACAAGGGUUUCCAUGAUAUUUUUACGAUAAAUAUAUGCAUUUGUUCCAAGGAAAUAUUUAGAAUCUAUAUUAUUAAUAAAACCCAUGAUUGGAUCGGAGCCACGGGUUAAUCGUCUACCAAACUAGAUUAGAAAAUGACUAAUAUACAUUUUUAUUAAAUGACUAUUAUUAUUUUGAUGGCAUUUUUGUUUUUCCGUACUUUUAUAUAAUUGUUAAAUAAAAUAACUAAAAUUGACAUAUCUAAUAAUUGAACUCAUGUUUAAUAGAUUUAUAAACAAAUUCUUUACCACUACGCUAAUAGUAAUAAUUCUUGAGUAAACUUUAAAAAAAUUAACUUUUAAUAUAUCAUGUUUUCUCUCACUAGAUUUGUGUAUAUAAAUAAUAUCAUUGAUUACGCUGGUGUUACAAGUCAAUUCAAUAGUUGAUUUUUUAAAAAAAAUAGAAUUUUAAUAUCGAAUUUUAUUUUUACUAACUUGAUCUCUUUUUGAUGUGCUAUAGAAAAAUGAUGAUUUCAUUAUGAUGUAUUUACCUAUUUCAAUUUUCUUUUACUCACAAGUUAAAAUAUUUUUUUAUUUUAAUUCCGUACAUAUGGCAUAUGUAUACGUGUGUAAUAGGGUUUCUUGUAUAUAUAAAAACGACAGAUAUAUUACCAUAAUAACUUCAUUAAGGGUAUUUAAUUUAAAUUUUUUAAAAUAAAAGGAAACUGAUGAAUGAUGAAAAGUAAUUAAUAUUUGUUUUUAAUGAAAACAAUCAGUUAAGGAAAGUUUAUUUUGAUAAGGAUUUCAAUUCUAAUAAAGAAAUAAAUAAAAAUAAAUAUUCAAAUUUAAUUAGUAAUUAGUGAAGGAUAAGAUAGUUAAAAUAACCAAUUAAUUAAAGUUUAUUCUAAAAAACGAAAUAAAUAAAUUCAAUAUUAAUAAAAAAUUAAAUAAAAUUAUGUAAUAAUUAAAAUUCAACGAGAAAAUCACGAUUUAGGGUGGGUUUGGAUGGGUGAUUGGGUGCGGUACGGUGCGUUUAGCUUACUUUUUGUCUCACGCUAUAGGAUUGCUACAGUAUCUAAUUUUACCGCCACCUCUGUUUUUACACUAACCGCAGAUAAACGCACCGUCCAUCCAAACUCUCCCUUAAUCUUUUGAAAAAAGAAAGACAUUUUAAUACGAAAAAUGUAACUGGUUAAAGCUAAAGAGCAUAGAAACUUAUAUGAUUUUUAAUGAUAAUAAAGGGAUUGUUAGACAGUGUUGGUAUUUUAUAUUUUUGGGAAUUAUUUUUUUAUAAAAAUAAUAAGUAAUAAAGGAAAUAAUCUUUAGUUUCCAAAGCAUCAGAUAUAGUCAUAAAUCUUUAAGAUUGUAACGGCUUCUUUUUUCAUGUUAUAUUUGGUUCAUUCGUUCUUCAUUCUUUUAGGGAGUAAAAGAAAUGGCAAAUUUUAUUUUUAGGGUUUUCUUGACUCUGGUUUUGUCAUAUUUGUGUAAUAGAGUCAAUGGAAAUGCGAAUUUUAAAGAUGUUGAAGAGAAAUUAAAGCAGCUUAACAAGCCUGCAGUGAAGACCAUACAGGUAAAAGUAUUUACUAAAACCGAGGUAAUUACGCACAAGGUCGAUGGGUGUUUCUUUUGAGCAUUGAAAAUGACUAUGGCAGAGUGAAGAUGGGGAUAUCAUCGAUUGCGUCGAUAUCUACAAACAGCCUGCUUUUGAUCACCCUGCGUUAAAGAAUCAUGUUAUCCAGGUAAAACUUUCUAUCAUUACUUCUUUUUUUAUUGUUGUUGCUGUAGAUGUAAUGCUAUUCAACAUUGUAGAUGAAACCCAGUUUCGAUUUGAAAGACGAGAAAUUGAGCUCCAAAAACGAGCCUGCAGAGCUAGCAGUGUUUCAAACGUGGCAAAGAAGUGGAAGUUGUCCGGAAGGAACCGUCCCCAUUCGGAGGAUUCGAAGAGAGGAUUUAUUGAGAGCGAAAUCUGUCCAACAGUUUGGAAGAAAACCUCAUGAAGCUGUCUUGAAUUCAAGCACAACAAUUGAACAUAGAGAUGGCCAACUUCCAUCUAUUAAUACCACCGCUGUUGCACUACCUAUUAUUGUUAAUCGAUCCGUAAGCAUAUUUGGAAUUAAUUUAAGGUCUAACUUUGGGUUUUUUUGGUUGUUUCUCGUUCUAGUUAUUCGGAUUUAAGGCUCAUUUCUAAUUAAUUUGUAUUCGAAUUGACUGAAUUUUGUUGACAGAUUUAAGUAAAAAUUGAAUUGAUGGUUUUUAUUUAUUUUUUUGAACAGGCAGCAACUCUUGUUACACUUGGAUACAAUUACAUAGGAGCUAAAGGAAUCUUCAAUAUUUGGAAUCCGAAUGUUGAAGCUCAAGAUGAAUACACUACAGCUCAAAUAUGGCUUAAAGCUGGCCCUGGCGAUAAUUUUGAAAGCAUAGAAUCGGGAUGGACGGCAAGUUUUAAUUUAAACCUAACUCUAUUUGAUAAUAAAAAGUUAACAACUUAAAUUUAUCUAAUUUGAAUCCGAAAUGGUUCACUUAAAAUAUCUAAAUCCAUAAUGAUCCGACAUUAACCUAAAUCUGAGAUGAUCUCAACUGAAAUUGUCUUGGACUAAAAUGACUCAUAAAUUCUAAAAUUCAUAUUAGCCGUUAGGAGCGAACAGAGAAUAUUUUAAGAGGUGACAAAAUUGAAUUAUAAAUUUUUUAAAUGUGUUUUUAUUUUUAAGGGGUAAAGUGUAAUUUUUUCUAUAUUAAUUUAUAAGAGGUUAGGAUUGAAUUUAUUUUAAUUUUGUGGGGGUUAAGGCCCUGUCUGUCCCUUGUAUCUGCCCUUAUUAACCCUGAUUCAGAUUGAUUCAAUCUGAAAGCAACCCGACCCGACAUUUUUUUCCCUUUCAGUUUCUUUAAUAACUUUUCAAUAUUUUAUUCAGGUAAACCCACAAUUAUAUGGUGACAAAAGGACCAGAUUAUUUGUACAUUGGACUGUAAGUACAUAAAAAAGUUUUUAAAGAGUAAAAAUUUGCAAUUAAUUCAAUCAUUAAAAAAGUUGUGUUUUUUAUUUACAGAAAGAUUCAUACAAGACAACAGGUUGCUUUGACAUGACUUGCAGUGGCUUUGUUCAAACAAGUUCCCAACAUGUACUUGGUGGAUCCAUUGGGCCUGUCUCUACUGAGUUUGGAAAACAAUAUUAUCUCAGAGUUGGCAUUUAUAUGGUAACAUUAAAACCCUUAUUCUCAGCUUUUCUUUCUUUUGUUUAUUUAUGAUUUUAGUCCCUCUAAUAAAUCGAGAUUAAAUUGAUGAUAUUAUUAGUUGUGGUUAUUAAACUUAAGAAUUUAACUAUAAACUUAUUAUUGGUUGAAUAUAGUUAUUGAAUUUUCACACAGUCUUGAUUGUAUGAAUAAAUAAUAGUAAAAAGAAUCAUAUAUACAUGAGUUUAUGAGUGAAUAAAAGUAAAAAAGAAAAGGGUAAACCAUGGUAGAGGUCACCCAGCAAUGGUUGGUUGUAAAAACGGAAAUACAUAAAAAUUCAAGAUAGUUGGAUGAGUAAAAUUAAAUAAUUUAGUGGCUAUUUUGUAAUUGUUCAUAGUUAGGUAGCUAAAACAGAAAAAAAAAACAUAUCAUCACAACAAGUAAUCGUGAUAUCAAUUUAGUGAUUAAAAAUCUAUGUCCAUCACUUUAACGAGAACAACUAAUCUGAGUGGUUUUAUUUGCAGGAUCCGAACACAGCCAAUUGGUGGCUAAAAAUUGGGAAAGAUAUACCAGUUGGGUAUUGGCCAGCAUCAACCCUAAUGUUUUACUUGAAUCAUAGUUCAACAAUGGUUGAAUGGGGUGGACAAGUUUAUAGCUCAAAUGUGAAGAAAAAGCCACACACAAAGACUGGUAUGGGAAGUGGCAAAUUUGCUACUGGUCUAAAAGGGAAUGCAUGUUCCAUACUGAAUAUUGCCAUUGUUGAUUUCUCAAUGCAACUCAAGUAUCCACAGUGGGUAGGCACUUGGGCUGAUGAACAGUAUUGCUACACUGCUUUAAAUUAUCACGAAGGAUAUGGAAAAUUACCAAUUUUUUACUUUGGAGGACCUGGUCAGAAUUAUAAUUGUCCUUAGAGUCCUCUAAAUAUUUUUUUUAUCGUUUAUAUUAGAAUAAAAUCCAAUGUGGUGGAAAGGUU
rnacentral:lncRNA from 1 species